AGGUUGUUGCUAAGGUGUUGCUAUGGUAUCUGGGGUGGUUGCUAAGAUGUUGCUACGUGGUUGCUAGGGUGUUGCUAUGGUAUCCAGGGUGGUUGCUAAGGUGUCGCUAGGUGGUUGCUAGGGUGUUGCUAGGUGGUUGCUAAGGUGUUGCUAUGGUAUCUGGGGUGGUUGCUAAGGUGUUUCUAAGUGGUUGCUAGGUGGUUGCUAAGGUGUUGCUAUGGUAUCCAGGGUGGUUGCUAAGAUGUUGCUAGGUGGUUGCUAAGGUGUUGCUAUGGUAUCUGGGGUGGUUGCUAAGGUGUUUCUAGGUGGUUGCUAGGUGGUUGCUAAGGUGUUGCUAUGGUAUCCAGGGUGGUUGCUAAGAUGUUGCUAGGUGGUUGCUAAGGUGUUGCUAUGGUAUCAGUGGUGGUUGCUACGGUGUUGCUAGGUGGUU